rnacentral:rRNA from 1 species
AACGCGAAGAACCUUACCUAGACUUGACAUCUCCUGAAUAAUCCGUAAUGGGACGAAGCCCUUCGGGGCAGGAAGACAGGUGGUGCAUGGUUGUCGUCAGCUCGUGUCGUGAGAUGUUGGGUUAAGUCCCGCAACGAGCGCAACCCUUGUUGUUAGUUGCUACCAUUAAGUUGAGCACUCUAACGAGACUGCCGCGGUUAACGCGGAGGAAGGUGGGGAUGACGUCAAAUCAUCAUGCCCCUUAUGUCUAGGGCUACACACGUGCUACAAUGGUGAGUACAACGAGAUGCAAAACCGCGAGGUGGAGCCAAACUCAAAAACUCAUCCCAGUUCGGAUUGUAGGCUGCAACUCGCCUACAUGAAGCCGGAGUUGCUAGUAAUCGCGAAUCAGAAUGUCGCGGUGAAUACGUUCCCGGGCCUUGUACACACCG